CUCUUUUUGAUAAUAAUUUAAAGUCGGGCCUGCCCACUGAAUUAUUUGAAGGGCCGCAGUAUUUUGACUGUGCAAAGGUAGCAUAAUCAUUAGUUUUUUAAUUGAAAGCUGGAAUGAAUGGUUUGAUGAAAAAAUUACUGUCUUAAAUUUAAUUUUAUAGAAUUUUAUUUUUAAGUUAAAAAGCUUAAAUAUUUUUAAAAGACGAGAAGACCCUAUAGAGUUUAAUUUAUUUUUGGUUAAUUUUUUUUAGAAUUAAUUAAAUUUUAAUUUAAAAUAAAUUUAAUUGGGGUGAUUAAAAAAUUAAAUAAACUUUUUUUAUAUUAAAACAUAAGUUAAUGAAUAUUUGAUCCAAUUAAUUUGAUUAUAAGAUUAAAUUACCUUAGGGAUAACAGCGUUAUUUUUUUUGAGAGUUCAAAUCGAAAAAAAAGAUUGCGA
rnacentral:rRNA from 1 species